rnacentral:rRNA from 1 species
AGAGUUUGAUCAUGGCUCAGGAUGAACGCUAGCUACAGGCUUAACACAUGCAAGUCGAGGGGAAACGACAUCGAAAGCUUGCUUUUGAUGGGCGUCGACCGGCGCACGGGUGAGUAACGCGUAUCCAACCUGCCCACCACUUGGGGAUAACCUUGCGAAAGUAAGACUAAUACCCAAUGAUAUCUCUAGAAGACAUCUGAAAGAGAUUAAAGAUUCAUCGGUGAUGGAGUGGGGAUGCGUCUGAUUAGCUUGUUGGCGGGGUAACGGCCCACCAAGGCAACGAUCAGUAGGGGUUCUGAGAGGAACGGUCCCCCACAUUGGAACUGAGACACGGUCCAAACUCCUACGGGAGGCGGCA